rnacentral:rRNA from 1 species
UUAUAUUCCCAAACCACCCUCAACGUGCCAGAUCUUAUCUGAUAUCAGAAGCUAAGGACAUUUGGGCCUGGUAGGAUGGGAGACUUUUUAUUUUUUAAAACCCUUCAGGAUGUACUGUGAA